AGUACUUACCCGAGCGUGUGUGGCUGUUCUGUUCGAAGACUUGAAGAAGCCAGAGCAAACCUUCUUUCACUGCUAGGGUUUCGGCGAUUAGGGCAAAGGGCGCGUGGAUUGGCUUUGCGAAACCGUCUGCGAGGAGCCCGGUGCUGUUCCGAACUACUCCUGCUAUUGAACCAGACAUGGAGGAGCUACACCAGGCGCUGUCGACGUGGAUUAUACAGAUGCCGGUUGAUGUACAGGAGGUUCAUGGUAGUCGCAUCUUCAAAGAUCAGCCUGAGGUUGGGCCUUCGAGCUUGGAAUAUCAUGGCAUUCCUUGCUUUCCGGAUCUGCCAUAGAAUCUCGGCGAAAAAAGCUUUUGACUGACGAUCCACUGCCGAGCUGCAUAGCGCGAACAAAUGCUCGACCGUUUCUGGGUGUUGGUUGCAGAUAGAGCAUCUUGGAUAUGGUUGUGCUACUUUGGGGAUUAGAGCGAUAUGGGUCCUAUUCAAGUCAGGAUCGAGAGUACCUUGGCUGAAGAAGGAGUCUACCAAUCUAAGAAUAUCAUGUCGGACCACCUGCCACUGGCUUUGGUAAAAUAAUCCAUUAAGUCCGUCCAGCCUUGGUGCUUUGGUAGCUCCCAAUUGAAAGACUGCAUUUCUUACUUCUUCCUCUGAGAUUGGCUUGAUUAAAUCUACAUUCAUCUCAUCAUUUACCAGCUGUAUGCACUGGUCGAGGAUAAGUUGAUAAUUUCUCUCUCCCACCGUGGUGUAUAGACUUUGAUAAAAAGCCCUGAUAUGCUGUUUUAUGAUUGAAGGCUCCAGGCUCCAUGUAUCUUCGUCAAUCUGUAACAUAGAGAUUCUGUUUCUACUUCUCCUUUGUACAGUCGUGGCAUGAAAAAAUUUUGUGUUUUGGCCGCCCCAUGUGAGCCACUUAAUUCUUGAACGCAUGCUCCAGUACAUUUCCUCUUGUCGCCAAAGGCUUCUAUUUUUCCAGCUACUUUUCUGUACUCCUCUCUGUCGUGAGGCUCAUCUUCCUUGUUUGUCAACUCCGUUAGUUUUUGCUUGAGUAGAUCUAUUUGACAGCGUGCAUUGUGAAAUUUUCUCCGGCUCCAUAUGGUUAGGUCGGCUACAACUUUCUGUAUUUUGCUUACAAAGUUUCUGUGGUGAAUGCUGUUUUUUCCCCAAGCCUCUUGGAUCACUUCUAUACAUUCCUUUUCUUCAAGCCAGUAUGCCUCAAAUUUGAACUCCUUCUUUCUUC